UACGUAGGGGGCUAGCGUUGUCCGGAAUCCUUGGGCGUAAAGAGCGUGUAGGCGGCCCGGUAAGUCCGCUGUGAAAGUCGGGGGCUCAACCCUCGGAUGCCGGUGGAUACUGUCGGGCUCGAGUACGGAAGAGGCGAGUGGAAUUCCUGGUGUAGCGGUGAAAUGCGCAGAUAUCAGGAGGAACACCUAUUGCGAAGGCAGCUCGCUGGGACGUUACUGACGCUGAGACGCGAAAGCGUGGGGAGCAAACAGG
rnacentral:rRNA from 1 species